rnacentral:lncRNA from 1 species
AAGCUAUCCGUUGUCCAAGUCCAUCUCUUCCAUCUCGCCCAUUCCUCAGCGACCAUGCACCUCAACCAAGAAGGGGCACGCAGCUGCUCUUCCCCAUCAGAACACCCAAACGAAGGUAUCCUCUGCGUUCCCGUUCUACAGUUCAAACUCAAGCUCUCAACAAUGCUCUCACUGUAGCUGCCAACCCCCCGGCAGCAGGAGGGAAUAUCUCAGUCCUGAUCCCAAUCAGGUAAGCACAGCUCUGCAUUACACCAUGGUUAGCAGGAGGGAAUAUCUAAGGGCCAUUUUAAGAGAACAUGAUUUGGCUAAAAUGCUAAAUAAACUUGAGGACCUGUUUUUCUGAACCAUUUUACUACUGCAUUAUAAUAGCGGCCUUAUAUCUCUAUAUUUGGUAUUCUGAUAAUAAUAUUACAGGCCGAAUAUAAUAAAGUUACAAUUUCUAGAUUCGCAUCAGUACAAAAAUAGCAGCCAUCAUUAAA